UACGUAGGCUGCAAGCGUUGUUCGGAGUUACUGGGCGUAAAGGGUGCGUAGGCGGUCCUGUAAGUUUGGUGUGAAAUCUCCCGGCUUAACUGGGAGGGUGCGCUAUAGACUGCGGGACUAGAGGGUGGGAGAGGAAAGUGGAAUUCCUGGUGUAGCGGUGAAAUGCGUAGAUAUCAGGAGGAACACCGGUGGUGUAAACGGCUUUCUGGACCAUUUCUGACGCUGAGGCACGAAAGCGUGGGUAGCAAACAGG
rnacentral:rRNA from 1 species